rnacentral:lncRNA from 1 species
UCUUACUCUUUUCCAUUAUACAAAUCUAUUUUUUCUUCUUUUUUUGACAAAUGUUUUUUUUCUUCUUCCCAAUAGCUUAUCCUUAGGAAACAAAUGAACAAAAUAUUUGGCUGAGUGCGUAUAUUUAAGACAUCAGACCUUAAUACUGGUUGGGAACGUAAAUAUUUUUAACACUUAUCUUUCGGUUAACAAUGGAAUCUUCCAAUGUAUUUUUUGAGUUUUUUCAGCAAGAAGUGUAUUGGUUUAUAACAGUCAAAUGAUAGGCUAGGUCAUCUUACCACCGAGGAACCUGAAAUUGGCAUAUUGGCGCUGACUGAAUGAUCAAAUGCUAUUUAUUCUAUUCCUUUUAUUUGAACUGAUGAGUUGAUUAUAAAUGUAUUUGAAACCAGUUAUUUGUUGUCUCUUAUUUAUUACAUUUUACUCAAAACAUAUUAAAUUAUAUGUAAUUAUUGAUUUGUUUUUCUAAUAAAAUAAUAUUUGAUUUUGUUUUGCAAUAUGCGUAAAAGAAUUAGUCAACCCGCGCUAUUGCGCGGGUAAAUAUCUAGUUUUAUAUAAAUCAUAAGGGGGUUAUUGGAAUCCCUUAUAUACUAAAGCACAAGUCACUUGGCUAAUUAGAUUUUGACACAUGGAUCCUAUUUUAUUUUUUAAAGAUUACAAAUUAUGUAUAAAAUAAUUAAAGCAAAAAUAAGAAAAGAAAAAAGGUGAAGAGAACGCACGAUCUUUAACAAUUGAAUCCAAUCCAGUAAUCUCUUCCAACGGUUCUUCUUGCCCACACUCCACGAUCACCAUUCAUAUCAGUUUCUUAUAACUACGUUCAUUCCAUCAUUUAUACUUCUGCAAUGUCUUUCUGUGAUCUCUCUUUACUCAAAUCCACGCAACAUUUCUUCUCUGAGAUAAAUUGGUAUUUGGUAUAUCAUCUCAUAUUGUUUUUUGUUGCCCAGUUUUUCGGGAUCUCACUUUUCUCUCUACUUUUUCCAUGACAGCAUUUGUACAGGGAGCUUCGCUAAGAUGCAAAGUUUAUCUUAGAAGAACUCAGGUUUGAAUCUUUUUUCUUCCCAAAUAUGUAAAUCUGAGACAGAGGAAAUGCAAUAAAACGUUUUUAUGUAAGUGUAUACCUCUGCUUCCAAUAAAAACAAGAGAGAAUAAGAACAAAGUAUUGUUGGGUCAGUCUACAAUCCAGCAAAAGAAAAGCCAAAACAAAUGAAGGAGUUUUCUCUGCAACAAACGGAAUACAAGAACAGAACCACCAAUAAUCUGAAAACAAGUGGUAUUUUUAAUUUUCUCUGAUUCUCUUUCUUAUGUGUUUUUUUGAAAAUCUCUAUUUUAUUUUUGUAACCUUUACAUACAUGAAGAAAUUCCAUCGGCUACUAAUAUUAAUGUGAUGCAGCUUUCAGAAGAUGGAAAUGCAACAAAAACCUAACAUUACAUGGGAAAACAGUAUCAACAACUUCGAUGAUGUAACAAGGUAUUUACAAAUUUUAAGUUAAAAAAAAAAACAAGGUAUUUACAAAUAUGUGUGUUAUGGUCUGAGUGCUUCACAAAUCUUUUUUAAAAAUUAUAAUACAGAAAAUCCAAUAUAUUAUAUACAAAUUGAAUAUUCUAACUAUAUGGAUUCUAUUAUGUUUAGUUUCGUUGUUUUUAUUAUUCAUUAUAUCAAAUCUAAGGAGGACUAUUUAAAAGAAGAAUUAUUUACAAAAGAAAUAAGAGUUCAAAAAAUAAACGAAUAGAUCAAACGUAAUAUUUUAACUACAUUUCUGCAUGUAUGUACCUUAAUUUUCAAACUCUUUGUUUGAUUAAUGCAGCCACUGCUAAAUGGAGUACUGAGGUAAUAAUAAGUAUAUAGGACUCCCAUUAUAUAAUCACUCUCUUACUCUUUUCCAUUAUACAAAUCUAUUUUUUCUUCUUUUUUUGACAAAUGUUUUUUUUCUUCUUCCCAAUAGCUUAUCCUUAGGAAACAAAUGAACAAAAUAUUUGGCUGAGUGCGUAUAUUUAAGACAUCAGACCUUAAUACUGGUUGGGAACGUAAAUAUUUUUAACACUUUUCUUUCGGUUAACAAUGGAAUCUUCCAAUGUAUUUUUUUGAGUUUUUUCAGCAAGAAGUGUAUUGGUUUAUAA